rnacentral:rRNA from 1 species
GACGAACGCUGGCGGCGUGCUUAAUACAUGCAAGUCAACUUGACUUUAGAUAGCAAUAUCGAAAAGUAGGGUGGCGCACGGGUGCGUAACGCGUAGGUAAUCUGCCUGAGGUCUGACAUAACCCGUCGAAAGGCGGGCUAACAUCAGAUGAUAUAUAAUCACGACAUCGUGGAAAUAUCAAAUCUUCGAGCCUUGGGAUGAGCCUGCGUCUGAUUAGGUAGUUGGCGGAGUAAUAGCCCACCAAGCCUACGAUCAGUAGCUGGUCUGAGAGGAUGAUCAGCCACACUGGAACUGAGACACGGUCCAGACUCCUACGGGAGGCAGCAGUAAGGAAUAUUGCUCAAUGGGGGAAACCCUGAAGUCAGCAACGCCGCGUGAAGGAUGAA